GCACCUACGGGACGCAGCAGUGAGGAAUAUUGGCCAAUGGGAGAGAUCCUGAACCAGCCAAGCCGCGUGAGGGAAGGCGGCCCUAUGGGUUGUAAACCUCUUUUGUCGGAGAACAAAACCCGGGACGUGUCCCGGACUGCGUGUAUCCGAAGAAAAAGCAUCGGCUAACUCCGUGCCAGCAGCCGCAGUAAUACGGAGGAUGCGAGCGUUAUCCGGAUUUAUUGGGUUUAAAGGGUGCGUAGGCGGUCCGUUAUGUCAGCGGUAAGAUUGCGGGGUUCAACCCCGUGGA
rnacentral:rRNA from 1 species